rnacentral:lncRNA from 1 species
AAGUCACCCCAAGUUCUAGGCCAAGCUGGACUACUUAUUGAUGCUCUGAAAAAAGGAAGUAAGGAAAGAAAGAGGGAGAGAGGCAGGGAAGGAAGGGAUGAGAAAGGAAGAGUCAACAGUCUAAGGGUCCUCGGGAUGUGCUUCAGUGGUAGAGAAGUUCCCUAACACGUGCAAGGCUUCUGAUAGUUCUGAUCCCUGUUGUCAUCAGUGCCACCACUAAAAAGUAAAGAAAAAAAUCAGCCAACCAAACACCCACCACCGUAUGAGGACAGAACGGUGCAGCAUGUCAGAAUGCUACUCAGAAUGGCAUGUAGCUUAAAGUCUCUGAAUUACUUGUUUCUGAAAUUUCCUGUUUAGUUUUUUUCAGACCACAGGUGAUGUAAGUAACUGAAACUGUGGAAACAAAAGCCAUGCAUCAUAGGAAAUCGUUGUACACAAACAUCCCCUAAAACAUCAAGAAGAAGGUGAUUCAAAACCUCAGUAGAUGGAAAGUUAAAAACAGGUAAUUCAAGGAAAAUCCAGAUAACCAGCCACCCAACCACUCUUCCAAAGUAAAGCCAUAGAAAUAGAUGUGAAACUGUUAGCAACCAGUGACACACAAAAAUAAAAGCAUUAACAGACAGUCAUCAAGCACAGUGACAGAAAGAGUAUUCAGUUGUUAGAGUAAAUGGAGGUGAUGCUAGGAGAUGGGAAGAAAGACCAAGCAAGGGAUGGCACUGGCUGAGCAGCAGCGCUUGUUCUGCAAGCCUGAGUCUGAGUCCCAGCAACCCUCAUGCAAAAAGCCAGGCCGGGUGGCAGUGGUCUGAAUCAGCAUGGCCCCUUAGACAAAUGUGUCUGAGUGCUUGAUCCCCAGUUGGUGAACUCUUUAGGGAGGUUAGGAGAUAUAUUCUUGUUGGAGAAAUUUGUCACUUGGGGUAGGUAUUGAGGUUUCAGAAACCCACAGCAUUCCUAAGACAUUAUGAAAAAAUCAGAAAUAGACUCAAAUAUAUUUAUAUAUUGUGAGAAUAAAUGGUGAUACUUGAGAUCAGUAGGAGAAAUAUGAAUUACUCAAUAAAUAAUAAUGGGACAACUAGUCAUAUAGGAGAAAAUAGUUUGCAUUUCUACCAACCAGUUGUAACAAAAUGAAGUUCAAAUGGGGAUUUAGAUGUAAGAAACAAAAGAACUAGGAAAUAUAUAAGGGGAUAUGUCACAAAACUCAGAAGCCAUUAAGGAAUCUGUAAGGGAAAUUCAGUAUUCCAGACUCAAAAGAUAAAUGGGCUGGGCCUGCUGCCUCACCAUACUUCUAAUCUCAGCACAUGGGAGGCAGAGGCAGAUAACUGUGAGUUCAAGGCCAGCCUGGUCUAGUGAGUUCUGUGCCACUUGGCACUACACAGUGAGACUGCCUCAGGGAGGGAAGAGAUGGGUAAAUGCAGAGGUGGCAGUGAUUCUGUGUUUGAAUACUUGUGUGCUUUGGAUUGAAUCAGAGCCUUGGAGUGCUAGGCAAGUGCUCUAUUAUCAAACUCAACCGCCAAAACUACUUUUUAAAAAUAUGUAAAGAGAAUAAAUAAAAAUGACCCAACAACCAAUAGAAAAAAUGCAAGAGUAUCUGCUGGUUUACAGACCUGACAUUAAAGUAGUUCUUAACAAUAUACGUCUUUACUGUUACUGAGAAAUGAAACUUGGCUAGGUGGAAUAUUCCUGUAAUCUCCUCAUUUAGAGUCAGAGGCAGGAGGAUCACAACAAUUUUACAUUGGGCUGGGCUAUCUAAAAAGACCUUGUAUCAGAAGC